rnacentral:rRNA from 1 species
UAAUACGAAGGGUGCAAGCGUUACUCGGAAUUACUGGGCGUAAAGCGUGCGUAGGCGGUUUGUUAAGUCCGUUGUGAAAGCCCUGGGCUCAACCUGGGAAUUGCAGUGGAUACUGGCGAGCUAGAGUGCGGUAGAGGAUGGUGGAAUUCCCGGUGUAGCGGUGAAAUGCGUAGAGAUCGGGAGGAACACCCGUGGCGAAGGCGGCCAUCUGGACCAGCACUGACGCUGAGGCACGAAAGCGUGGGGAGCAAACAGGAUUAGAUACCCUGGUAGUCCACGCCCUAAACGAUGCGAACUGGACGUUGGGUGGACUUAGCCACUCAGUGUCGAAGCUAACGCGUUAAGUUCGCCGCCUGGGGAGUACGGUCGCAAGACUG